CAGUAGCCGCGGUAAUACGAAGGGUGCAAGCGUUACUCGGAAUUACUGGGCGUAAAGCGUGUGUAGGUGGUUGUUUAAGUCUGUCGUGAAAGCCCUGGGCUCAACCUGGGAAUUGCGAUGGAUACUGGGCGACUAGAGUGCGGUAGAGGAUAGUGGAAUUUCCGGUGUAGCAGUGAAAUGCGUAGAGAUCGGAAGGAACAUCUGUGGCGAAGGCGACUGUCUGGGCCAACACUGACACUGAGACACGAAAGCGUGGGGAGCAAACAGGAUUAGAUACCCCCGUAGUCCCUGUCUCUUAUAC
rnacentral:rRNA from 1 species